AAAAAGUUUGAUUCUUGCUUCAAAUUUAAUUAUAUUAAUAUUCUACAUGCAAGUAGAAAUAAUAAACAAUUUUAUUCUAAAAGAAUAAAGUUAUAUAGUAACGCAGUAUUUAAUACUAAAAAUUAAUUUAAGUUAGAAUUUGGUUAUUAAUAAAAAUAGUAAUAAAUUUUGUGCCAGCAAUUGCGGUUAAACAAUUACUUAAAAUUAAAUUUUUCAACUUUCAAUGAAAAUGAUAUUUUAAUAUGUUAAUAUAAUGAAAUUAGGUGAAAUUUUUUUAUUAUGAAACUUUUUAGAAUUAUUUAAUGUAAUUGAGAAAUUUUUUUAUAAACUAGGAUUAGAUACCCUAUUAUUAAACAUUUAAAUAAAAAAAGUUGAUUAUUAAUAGUUAAGGACUUGAAAAUCAAAGAAUUUGGCGGUAAUUAAGUCUUAUUAGAGGAACCUGUCCUGUAAUUGAUAAUCCACGAUUGAUUAUACUUUAAUUAUACUUGUAUACCUCUAUCAAUGAAUGUAUUAAAAGAUAACUUUCUUCAUCCUCAUAGUAAAGGAAAAUGUUAAGUCAAGGUGCAGUUAUAUUAAAGUGGAGAUGGGUUACAUUUACAUUUAAAUUAAAUUAAUUUUUGAAAAAAAAUUAUGAAAAAGGAUUUAAAAGUAAUUUUAAUUAGUAAAAUUAUUUUGAUUUUAGCUCUUAAUUAUGUACAUAUCGCCCGUCACUCUCAUUAAAAAUUGAGAUAAGUCGUAACAAAGUAGCCUUACCGGAAGGUAAGACUAGAAAGU
rnacentral:ncRNA from 1 species